CCCAAAACACCCCACUCAAGGUGAUUUGACCACCUUACCCUUGUCCUUUCUUUUGAAUCAAAACUUGCAAUUACCAGUUCUCCAGCCUCUGGCGUAGUUCGUCGGCACCCUUCCCCUUUCUUUGGAAUCAAACCUACAAUUACCGGUUCUCCAGCCUCCGGCGUAGUUCGUCGGUACUCCUCCCCUCCAACGAAGGUUCGCGGCUACCCAUAGAUAAUGAUAAUUUUUCUUUGCCGAUCUCCGCAUCCACGGAAAACCAAACAGAUGCCACAGAGACACUCCAUGUGAGUAUGUGACCCACCGACGACGUAUGUGAUCCCUCACUAAUUAUAAACACCAUAACCCAUCCCCACUCCAAACCCUUCAGAUUCGACUUUACUCUCUUCAGUUCAGGGAUCCUCAAUUCAAUCAUCAUCACCCAAAUAAGCAAACCCUAUUCCCCAACUUCUAAAUCUAAUCUCAUACACAGUUAUAGACAUUCAAGAGAUAACCAUGGCUAGAGUAUUGAUGUUGUUUGCUCUCUAUGUCAUUCCGGCCCUCGUGAGAGCAUCCCGCCCCGUCAGGAACCCCUUUAUCGUUGUGGGCAAGGUCUUCUGUGAUACCUAUCGCUGUAGCUUCGAAACCUCUGCCACCACUUACAUGCCUGGGUUCAAAUCUGAGGGUUACAAGUACUAUUUUCGUAGAUCUCUGCUAUGGAUACCAUAAAUCUGCGGUUUUCCUCUUCUACUCCUCUCUCCUGUUGGAUGAUUUGUGCUACUGGACUGGUUUUCCUGCUUGGAUUGCUUUGGUCACUUAAUUUAAUAAUUUCCUUAACAAUGGUUGGUGCAAAGGUUAGAGUUCAAUGCAAGGACAGGGACUCACUCUAGGACGUGUACAACGUCAACGGAGUGACAGAUGCUACAAGAUCACAAUCCCAGAUGACCACAAGGAUGAGAUCUAUGAGACGAUGCUCAUCAGUAGCCCACAGAACGACUGCUAGGUCAAGAGCCUAGGGCAUGAUGGGUCUCGAGAGAAGAGUCUGGGCUAAGGAUCGAUGAGAAAUAACGACGAUGGAGAAAAAAAUUGAAGCACAAACGAGAUGCAGAAGCCAUGAAUUUCAUAUUCGAUGAUUGAAAUGCCUGUGUUUACAGAGAGAACAUUGGGUUUUGAAAUCCCUCUAUUUCACGCCUGUGAAGAAAUAGAGAAGGGAAAUCCAUUGGAAUUACAUUGACUCUUUCAAUACUAACCUUCGCCAGAGGGGAGUGGUGCCGACGAACUUAGCCUAGGGCUAUAGUUGCAGGUUUUGGUUUAGAGGAAGGGACAUGGGUAAGGUGGUCAAAUCACCUGGGGGUGUUUUGGGCAUUUAAUUAAAUAACUAACAGUUAUUCUAUUACUUAACUGGGAUGCCUAACCGUAGGGAUGGAUUUGGUAUUUCUUAAAUUAAUAGGAGGUAUUUUUGGUGUUU